rnacentral:tRNA from 1 species
GGAGAGGUGGCAGAGUGGUUGAAUGCGGCGGUCUCGAAAACCGUUAGGCCGGUUACCCCGGUCUCGGGGGUUCGAAUCCCCCCCUCUCCGCCA